ACACUUAUACCACGCUCAGCAGCUGUCUGGCAUGAUAGGGUCUGUGGUAGGAAAUCAGAAUAUUGGACCUCACUCCAAGCCUAUUGUACCUUGCCUGCCACUGAACCAGAUGCCAAGGGCACAUGUGUACACCUGAGCUUUGAAGUGUUGCUUGGGAACCUAUGGUUUUCCCUGCUUUUUUCCCAAGUAGUGCUGAGAUUAAAGGUAUGUACCAACCAACACACACCAGCAGUUUCCCUGUAACAAUACAGCAUUCGUAUAAAGGGCUGUUCAGUUUAAAGCAACCCCAUAGACUUAGUCUCCUAGGACUGAAGUUGCACAAAUAGGAAAAAGCAAUGCAUGCUGUGUCUUGUCCUCCACCUUUUGGACCACUGGUAGGCAUGGAGAGCUGAUUGGUAAAAAUCUGAUUGGCUUUUUUUUUUUUUUUUUGCAACGUGUUUUGCGAAAGAUGUUUGGAAGCGGCCUAAAUCUUAUUUAUUCUCUUGAGGUUAUCUGUAGGGAUGUGAAGGUGUAUGCAGCAGCUUGUCCCUUUGAAGGAUCGGUGUUCAUUUUUUUUCUUGUGAAAUAAAUAUCAAUAAUUAUAAAUUAUUAAAAUGUGGCUUUAAUGUUUUACAAGCAAGAAGUCGGAUGUGUGUAUUAGCAAUGAAGAUUGGAGUCUCAGGUAGAAACAAAUGAAUCACAAAGCUAAGUUCAAGUACAGAUAAUUUUUUUUCAUUGCCUGUGUUUUAUUGUAUGUUUACUAUAACAUCUUGGGAAGAUGGCUGAAUGGGUAAUGUGCUUGGUGUAAGCACCCACGUUAAAAGAACAAGUAGUUUUAUGGUAGAGCACCCCUAGAGCUCUGUAGCGUGAAAUAAUAAAAAAGGCAGUCCCACACUACUGCUGGCAAGGCACACGGACAGGCCAACCUGUCCUCAGCCCAGCAGACUCUGUGCGUCAGCCCUGAAAUCUCUCCACCCAGCCCUCUAAGUCCCCAUGGCUGGCUGCUGCCAAUAUGGUGGGCUGUUGUCACAUUCGCUCCACGCUUCCAAAUUCCCAUGGCUGGCUGGGGUGCCUUCCUCUGGAACCCAGUUGAGUCGCAGCAUGAAGGAAAACACCACACCAUCUUAGUUUCGAAUCAACAGGUAACACAGUCGCUGGGCGCAGAAACUAGCAUCCUAAUUUUGUAAACUAUUCUAAGUUAUAAAUCCUCUGGUGAUGGAUCCAGACGGAUCUGUCACCUAAAUUGGUGGCCUCUGGCUACUUACAUUGUGUCUCCAAUGCUCUCUCCUAUCCAAAAGGAAGCACAGAUAAUAUUUGAUGUGUUUUAAUUUGUUUUUUUUUUUCUUGCAACUAUUGGUUCAUUAUAAUAGUAAAUUUGACCGAUUAUUUCAUCUGGUGUUGUGUCACAUAAUAAAAUGUAACUAUGUUGUUUCAAAUUCUUCGUGUAAAGUUCAGGGUAUAAUAAAUACGUGGCAAAUGAUCACAUCUCACAGUCAUUUCCUAUGUAAGUAAAGCUGUGACCCCCUCAGUCAGGAGUCUGUGAGGAAGUAAUUGUUAGCUGAUCUCUGCUGUGUCUGAUAAGCAGAGUUGAGGGAUCUUAACUAAAAGUGAAGAAUAUGGUCUUUAACACAAAUAUACUACUAACACAGAGAGAAAGCAGGCAGGCAAGGUUGAGGAUAAUUGUUCCUUCUCAUAACCCCCUUUCCCCCUAUACUCUGUACUGAAUGUAGGGCCUUGCUUGGGCAAUCUUACCUAGACCCCAAAUCAUGUUCUUGGUAAGAAAUUUAUAAGUGUGUAGUUAAGAGCCUAAUUAUUGAGCUGCAUUACCACUCUUAGCUGCAGCCAUGUUGUCCUAGCCUUGUGCUUUCUGCACAGCCCACACUAGAUGAUGUUUGCUCCAGGAAGCAAAUACUUAAAAAUUAACAAAAGCUAGAGGGCAAAAGAGCACCCGUGUAAUAGGAAAAGGAAAAGCUGGGAUUUUGUCAUCUUUUGCAUAUAGAAAAGCUGGGAUCCAAUGUGGGCUGUACUGGUCCUAAUGGAGAGCACCAACUAUGAGUGGAUGUCAGCUUGCUUAUUUUAUACAUCUGAACCAAGGAGGCAGCGGGCUCAUGGUAUAUACAACUCAGCAGGGAGACAGAAUCUUGGAAGACUCAAUAGGGGAGUGGUCUCAGGCUUCAGGCUUCCUGGAGGAGGAAGCUGAGGUUGAUAGCCAAUCUUUGCCCUUGGACAGGAGGAAGACUUCCUUGGGUCUGAAGCUUUAUCUCCCUUGAUGUGUCUUUAUCUGAGUCAACAGUACGUAUUCGCUCAGGACCCACCUACUCUCCACAGAGAAUAAUAAUUUACCUUUGAAAAAAUGAACUCUAGAGCUAGGAUAAAACUCACUUUUAGGGUGUUUGCCUCACAAGCAUAAGGCCUUGAUUUUGAUUUCCAGUAAAACACACACACACACACACACACACACACACACACACACAGAGAGAGAGAGAGAGAGAGAGAGAGAGAGAGAAUUCUUUUAAUAUGGUCCCAUUUGUUCCUUAAAAGUUCAAGUGUUUUCUAUACUAACAGUUAUAUAAUAGAAGUUGAUUUUAAAAGUCUAACUUUAAAAUAGAUGUCUGGAGAGACAGUUCAACUGGAUCAAAGUUUCUACAUCUGGUGGCUUGUAACUUCAGUUCAAAAGAAUCAAACACCUUCUUCUAGCCUCCACUGGCACAUUCAUACAACAGGCACAAACAUACUCACACACACACUCUCUCACAGGAUAGAUAGAUAGAUAGAUAGAUAGAUAGAUAGAUAGAUAGAGAAAAUCUUUUACAAUCUUUUAAAAAGUUAUAGCAGAUAACUUAUACAUAGGAACAAAUCUAUGCACUUACCAUAUUACAGACGUGGGAUCUACUGAAAAGCCUGAAAAUUGAAAGUAUAUCCACAAAUUAUAUUAGCUCCUCAAAACAUUGAAAAAGAAAAAAAGUAGAAAUAGGUCAAGUAAUGAUUCUAAACCAGAGCAAGAAGUAAUCCUGUGGAAUAGUCAAAUGACAUCAGAUAAGCCAUGGAUACCUUGGUGAGCUAUUUCCUGGUAAAUAAUUGCUCUCACUCAGGGCUACAGUUUCUUGGAACACCACCAGACACAAAACCACGGGCCAAGCUAGUCCAGCUCUGGAUCUGGAGUCGAUUUUAACAUUCCUACAUAGAUAAGAAGGCUCCCAGAGUCAUCCCUUUAUGCAGCAUUUUUUUUUUUUGAUGGCUAUCUGCAGCAGUGGCUUCUCCAGACAACUGCUGCCCUACAUAGACAUACUAAGCCACACUGCUGACAUAUCCAAGAGCAUGAGAGAUAACCCCUUACCUAAAUGAACUACACUAUACCCAAAGAAAAAAUAGUUAGAAACAAGUAAAAAGUUAAGAAAUACAUAAUCUAGAGCCUGUGAGAUGCCUUAGCACAGCAGUUCUCAACCUGUGAAUGGAGACUCCCUUGGGAGCACAGGGUGGAUAUAAGAUAUCCUGCAUGUCAGGCAUUUAUAUUAUGAUUCAUAACAGUAGCAAAAGUUACAGUUAUGAAAUAGUAUUGAAAUAUUUUUUUGGUUGAGGGUCACCACAACAUGAGUAUUGUAGAGUCACCAUGUUAAGAAGGUGAGAACCACCACUGCAUUAACAGAUUAAAAAGUGCUUGUCACUGCCAAAUGGCCCACAUUUGAUCCUCAGAACCCACAAGGUGGAAAGAAAGAGCUCACUAUACAAGUUGUUCUUUGACUUCCACAUGUGCACCAUAACACACACAAACACACACACACUAAAUAUAUGCAUAAGUGUAAUUAAAUAAUAUUUAAGUACAUAACCCAACACUAAAUUGGUAAAGAGAUGGAAACCGUAGCCUUACAGUGUUUCCCUCUAAAUAAUUUUUAUUUGCAAAGGGGAAAAAGAGUAACUUGGCAGAAAUCAAAGCAUAGGAGAAAUUUCUUUAACCAAAAGUAUGGUUAACAUCACUCCUACUAAGACCUUCUGUCCUGUUUCUAAUAGGAUGUGCUAAAGAGGGCACCCUGCUUCUGCCAGUUCUUUCCCAUUAGUUAAUUAAGUGAUCACC
rnacentral:lncRNA from 1 species